UACGAAGGGGGCUAGCGUUGUUCGGAAUCACUGGGCGUAAAGCGCACGCAGGCGGUUCGCCAAGUUUGGAGUGACAGUUGUCGGCUCAACCGACAAAGGACUUCAAAAACUGGUGAACUUGAGGACGAGAGAGGAACAUGGAACUCCAGGUGUAGUAGUGAAAUGCGUAGAUAUCUGGAAGAACACCAAUGGCGAAGGCAAUGUUCUGGCUCGUUUCUGACGCUCAGGUGCGAAAGCCAGGGGAGCGAACGGG
rnacentral:rRNA from 1 species